GCGAGAGGUAGCGGGAUCGAUGC
rnacentral:piRNA from 2 species